CGCGUGAGUGAAGAAGGCCCUUGGGUUGUAAAACUCUUUCGUCGGGGAAGAAAAUGACUGUACCCGAAUAAGAAGGUCCGGCUAACUUCGUGCCAGCAGCCGCGGUAAUACGAAGGGACCUAGCGUAGUUCGGAAUUACUGGGCUUAAAGAGCUCGUAGGUGGUUAAAAAAGUUGAUGGUGAAAUCCCAAGGCUCAACCUUGGAACUGCCAUCAAAACUUUUUAGCUAGAGUGUGAUAGAGGUAAGUGGAAUUUCUAGUGUAGAGGUGAAAUUCGUAGAUAUUAGAAAGAACACCAAAUGCGAAGGCAACUUACUGGAUCAUUACUGACACUGAGGAGCGAAAGCAUGGGUAGCGAAGAGGAUU
rnacentral:rRNA from 1 species